UAAAUCAUUAGAUAUCGCAAAUUAUCGUAUAAUCCAAAUUCAAACAGCUAGAACUCGACGUAAAUCGUAUGCCCAAAAUCAUAAUCCAUAUCUGUUCAAAUUCGAUUCGAUCCAAUUCAAUUGAAUUCAAUACUUGGCAACAAACUCACAUGCAAUAAUCUGUUCAAUACAGUUCGAAUUUAUCAUCAAUUUGUACGUCUAGAGUCUGCCACGACGCCAUUGUCUUCCAGAUUCGACAAGACAUUAAUCUACAAUAACUUCCCGCGUCAUUUGGUAGAAUUGUACUGAUCUCUCUGAAGUAAAGUUUUCUUUACCGAUACAUUUUGGGGAUCGAUAUCUGGUUGAAGCAAGAGAAGGAAAAAAUACAUUACUCUGAUGAGUCUACAUUGAUCUGCAGUUUCAUUUAAUUGUUACGAAAAAUCCAACGUGGGAAUCCACUUACAAAGUGCUAUUCUCACCUAGGAAGUUCUUAAAUGGUGCGUUUUGAGUGAAAGAAGGGGAAUCUCAACAUCAUUGAAGGUUCCAAAAGGCUUCUUUGCAGGUAAUGUGGUUUCAAUAUCAUACUUAAAACAGCCUUCAUUUUAGGAUUUGCAAAACAGAGCUGAAGAAAAAUUUGGCUUUGGUCAUCCAAUGGGGAGCCUAACUAAUCCAUGUAGAGAAGAUAUUUCCAUUGAAAUCACUUUUAGGCUUGGGAAGUAGAGUUUUUUAGCAUUUGAAAAUGAAUGUAAACAUGAUUUUUUUUGUAUAGUGGUGGACAAUCUCUCCCUUCCCAUUUUUGAGGCUUUUCUUUCAUCUUUUAAUCAUCGUCUGAGGCAAUAACUCUAUGAGAGGGAAGUAUACAAUGAUUUCUGGUUGGAUUGGCUAAAAAAGAUAUUUUUCAUAAAGUCGUUGUCAUUAAACAUUUUUAAUAAAAACUAUUUAAAAUAAA